rnacentral:rRNA from 1 species
GAUGAACGCUAGCGGGAGGCUUAACACAUGCAAGCCGAGGGGCAGCAUAGGGUAGCAAUACUCUGAUGGCGACCGGCAAACGGGUGAGUAACGCGUAUGCAACCUACCCUGUACAGGGGGAUAACCCGGAGAAAUUCGGACUAAUAUCCCGUAAUAAUAUCCGGAGGCAUCUUUGGAUAUUUAAAGUUCCGACGGUACGGGAUGGGCAUGCGUAACAUUAGCUGGUUGGUAAGGUAACGGCUUACCAAGGCUAUGAUGUUUAGGGGUCCUGAGAGGGUGGUCCCCCACACUGGUACUGAGACACGGACCAGACUCCUACGGGGAGGCAGCAGUGAGGAAUAUUGGUCAAUGGGCGCAAGCCUGAACCAGCCCAUCCCGCGUGCAGGAAGACGGCCCUAUGGGUUGUAAACUGCUUUUCCAGGGAGAGAAACUUACGCACGUGUUGCGUGACUGACGGUACCCUGGGAAUAAGCAUCGGCUAACUCCGUGCCAGCAGCCGCGGUAAACACGAAGAGUA